AUUGAACGCUGGCGGCAGGCCUAACACAUGCAAGUCGAACGAGUGGCGGACGGGUGAGUAAUGUCUGGUAAACUGCCUGAUUGAGGGGGCUAACUACUGGAAACGGUAGCUAAUACCGCAUACCAUCCGAUGUGCACAGAUGGGAUUAGCUUGUUGGUGGGGUAACGGCUCACCAAGGCGACGUUCCCUAGCUGGUCUGCGCGGAUGUCCAGCAACAUUGGAACUGAGACACGGUCCAGAUGCAUACGGGGGGCAGCAGUGGGUAACAUUGCACGAUGGGCGGAAGCGUGAUGCAGCCAGGCCGCGUGGAUGAAGAAGGCCUUCGGGUUGUAAAGGACUUUCAGAGGGGAGGCGUUACCCGCAGAAGAAGCACCUGCGAGCUCCGUUCCAGAAGACGCGGUAAUUC
rnacentral:rRNA from 1 species